rnacentral:rRNA from 1 species
GAUGAACGCUGGCGGCGUGCCUAAUACAUGCAAGUCGAGCGAACAGACGAGGAGCUUGCUCCUCUGACUUUAGCGGCGGACGGGUGAGUAACACGUGGAUAACCUACCUAUAAGACUGGGAUAACUUCGGGAAACCGGAGCUAAUACCGGAUAAUAUAUUGAACCGCAUUGUUCAAUAGUGAAAGACGGUUUUGCUGUCACUUAUAGAUGGAUCCGCCCCGCAUUAGCUAGUUGGUAAGGUAACGGCUUACCAAGGCAACGAGGCGUAGCCGACCCGAGAGGGUGAUCGGCCAGACUGGAACUGAGACACGGCCCAGACUCCUACGGGAGGAAGCAGUAGGGAAUCUUCCGCAAUGGGCGAGAGCCUGACGGAGCAACGCCGCGUGAGUGAUGAAGGUCUUCGGAUCGUAAAACUCUGUUAGUAGGGAAGAACAAAUGUGUAAGUAACUAUGAACGUCUUGACGGUACCUAAUCAGAAAGCCACGGCUAACUACGUG